rnacentral:rRNA from 1 species
GUUGGGUAGGGGAGCGUUCUGUAAGCCUGUGAAGGUGGCCUGUGAGGGUUGCUGGAGGUAUCAGAAGUGCGAAUGCUGACAUAAGUAACGAUAAAGCGGGUGAAAAGCCCGCUCGCCGGAAGACCAAGGGUUCCUGUCCAACGUUAAUCGGGGCAGGGUGAGUCGACCCCUAAGGCGAGGCCGAAAGGCGUAGUCGAUGGGAAACGGGUUAAUAUUCCCGUACUUGGUGUUACUGCGAAGGGGGGACGGAGAAGGCUAUGUUGGCCGGGCGACGGUUGUCCCGGUUUAAGCGUGUAGGUGUGUGUUCCAGGUAAAUCCGGUUCACUUUAACACUGAGGCGUGACGACGAGGCACUACGGUGCUGAAGCAACAAAUGCCCUGCUUCCAGGAAAAGCCUCUAAGCAUCAGGUAACAUCAAAUCGUACCCCAAACCGACACAGGUGGUCAGGUAGAGAAUACCAAGGCGCUUGAGAGAACUCGGGUGAAGGAACUAGGCAAAAUGGUGCCGUAACUUCGGGAGAAGGCACGCUGAUAUGUAGGUGAAGCGGUUUACCCGUGGAGCUGAAAUCAGUCGAAGAUACCAGCUGGCUGCAACUGUUUAUUAAAAACACAGCACUGUGCAAACACGAAAGUGGACGUAUACGGUGUGACGCCUGCCCGGUGCCGGAAGGUUAAUUGAUGGGGUCAGCGCAAGCGAAGCUCCUGAUCGAAGCCCCGGUAAACGGCGGCCGUAACUAUAACGGUCCUAAGGUAGCGAAAUUCCUUGUCGGGUAAGUUCCGACCUGCACGAAUGGCGUAAUGAUGGCCAGGCUGUCUCCACCCGAGACUCAGUGAAAUUGAACUCGCUGUGAAGAUGCAGUGUACCCGCGGCAAGACGGAAAGACCCCGUGAACCUUUACUAUAGCUUGACACUGAACAUUGAGCCUUGAUGUGUAGGAUAGGUGGGAGGCUUUGAAGCGUGGACGCCAGUCUGCGUGGAGCCGACCUUGAAAUACCACCCUUUAAUGUUUGAUGUUCUAACGUGGACCCGUAAUCCGGGUUGCGGACAGUGUCUGGUGGGUAGUUUGACUGGGGCGGUCUCCUCCUAAAGAGUAACGGAGGAGCACGAAGGUUGGCUAAUCCUGGUCGGACAUCAGGAGGUUAGUGCAAUGGCAUAAGCCA